GUAGAUAUAGUUUAACAAAAUAUUAGAUUGUGAUUCUAAAGACAGGGGUUAAAACCCCCUUAUCCACC
rnacentral:tRNA from 5 species